UGGGGAAUAUUGCACAAUGGGCGAAAGCCUGAUGCAGCGACGCCGCGUGAGGGAUGACGGCCUUCGGGUUGUAAACCUCUUUCAGCAGGGACGAAGCGCAAGUGACGGUACCUGCAGAAGAAGCACCGGCUAACUACGUGCCAGCAGCCGCGGUAAUACGUAGGGUGCAAGCGUUGUCCGGAAUUACUGGGCGUAAAGAGUUCGUAGGCGGUUUGUCGCGUCGUUUGUGAGAACCAGCAGCUCAACUGCUGGCUUGCAGGCGAUACGGGCAGACUUGAGUACUGCAGGGGAGACUGGAAUUCCUGGUGUAGCGGUGAAAUGCGCAGAUAUCAGGAGGAACACCGGUGGCGAAGGCGGGUCUCUGGGCAGUAACUGACGCUGAGGAACGAAAGCGUGGGUAGCGAACAGG
rnacentral:rRNA from 1 species